UAGGAUAUGAUGUAUUAGGUAGCAUGGAGAAUUUUUGAUUCUCAGGAAUAGAUUCAACUCCUAUAAUUCUAG
rfam:Pongo abelii chromosome 12.